GUCACGGUCAGAGAAGCGCAAAGAAGCGUCUCCUGCGUAUUAACUCGCUUCCGGACUACACUUCCCAACAUACAUCACCGCCACCUGAGCCCUAUCAUCGCUCGCUAUUUAAGCUGCACAUGAACUUCAUACCGUUUGCUGCCUGUCCCGACCUUCUGCCUGCCCUUUGAUAUUCGUGUUUGCCUGCUCUUUUCCUGCUUGUCUGACUUUUUGUGUGUCUUCAUUAAACGCUGCACAUAGAUCCUCA